CUGCUUAGCCCACUAUUACAUAAUUUCCAGCAAUCCUCUCAUUUUUCACUUUACCACUAGGGUUGACAACGGGCCAAUCUGCGAGUUAAAAAGUCGAUGUCAUGAAUCUCCUCCAGCCUCUCCCAUGCUCUGCCUCCGGAAUAAAAAUUCUUUUCGCAUUUUUACCCCAUAGCACAGAUAACACCAGGUACAAUCCUCGUUUGUUACUGACAAACAAGAUCCGGGGUUCAAGAUUCUGUCGAAUGAAAUGCUUUGCCACAAUAGAAAUCCUCAAGAGCAUUCAGAAGCCAUCCUACCUUCGCCUUGUCUAUGGAAAUUGAAGUUUGAAAUCCUCGCCCAUUCUCAAUCCAUCCAUCCUCUUGCCCCUACUAACUAAAUCGAACGACUUGUUAUCAAUUAUUAGGAAUUUU
rnacentral:lncRNA from 1 species